CCUACGGGGGGCUGCAGUGGGGAAUAUUGGACAAUGGGCGAAGGCCUGAUCCAGCCAUGCCGCGUGUGUGAAGAAGGCCUUCGGGUUGUAAAGCACUUUCAGUGGGGAAGAAAGCCUUGGGGCUAAUACCCUCGAGGAAGGACAUCACCCACAGAAGAAGCACCGGCUAACUCCGUGCCAGCAGCCGCGGUAAUACGGAGGGUGCGAGCGUUAAUCGGAAUUACUGGGCGUAAAGCGCGCGUAGGCGGUCUGAUAAGCCGGUUGUGAAAGCCCCGGGCUCAACCUGGGAACGGCAUCCGGAACUGUCAGGCUAGAGUGCAGGAGAGGAAGGUAGAAUUCCCGGUGUAGCGGUGAAAUGCGUAGAGAUCGGGAGGAAUACCAGUGGCGAAGGCGGCCUUCUGGACUGACACUGACGCUGAGGUGCGAAAGCGUGGGUAGCAAACAGGAUUAGAUACCCUAGUAGUC
rnacentral:rRNA from 1 species